UAGCUCUGAUGAGUGCAAUGACAACAUCAUCUUCUCAGAAGUAGAUGUAAAAUCAGACAUAUAGGUUCAAACAAUCGAUUGCAAAGGAGCACUUGUCAAAACACUGGCUGGGAAUCUGCUCAUGUGAUGAAGACCCCAGGGUUUAGAGAUAUAACACCAGCAAUCCUGACUUGUUGCUAGUCAUAUUUCAAGUGACAGGCAUCAGCCUCCUGCCACCACUGGGAGUUGCCAUAUCUGUCAUCAUCAUCUUCUACUGCUACCGCGUUAACCGGCAGCAGAAGCUGAGUUCAACCUGGGAAACCGGCAAGACGCGGAAGCUCAUGGA
rnacentral:lncRNA from 1 species